rnacentral:rRNA from 1 species
AUGCACGUACGCACACCACACAUCGAGAGCACGCCUCAACACCACGAACACAACCGUGCAUACAGCAACACACACGUUCCGUUUCAUCGGUGGCAGGAGAUACAACACUACGGCGGCCGGAAAUACAGCAGCAAGACAUACAGCACGCGCGUUGUCCAUAUAAUAGCAGAAAUACAGCAGCAGGAAGAUCCAGCUCCAUGCACGCAGUCCCGCACCACCAUCAAUCGCCGGCCGCGUGCGACUCAAGCACCCAGCCGACGCCCUCCUCGAGGUCGAGCGGCGCCGCCGCCAUCGUCUAGAUCCAGCCGCGCCGCCGCCACGCACGGAAGAGAGAGGAGAGGGUAA